AGCAGCCGCGGUAAUUCCAGCUCCAAUAGCGUAUAUUAAAGUUGUUGCAGUUAAAAAGCUCGUAGUUGAAUUUCGGGAUUGGCGCAUCGGUCGUGCCUCACGGGGUAUGAACUGGUGCAGUCAAUUUCUCACCUUCUGGGGAACCGCGAUGUCCUUAAUUGGAUGCCGCGGGGAACCAGGACCUUUACUUUGAAAAAUUAGAGUGUUUGAAGCAGGCAUUUUUGCUUGAAUACAUUAGCAUGGAAUAAUAAAAUAGGACGGCAUGGUUCUAUUUUGUUGGUUUCUAGGACCACCGUAAUGAUUAAUAGGGAUAGUUGGGGGCAUUAGUAUUCAAUUGUCAGAGGUGAAAUUCUUGGAUUUAUUGAAGACUAACUACUGCGAAAGCAUUUGCCAAGGAUGUUUUCAUUAAUCAAGAACGAAAGUUAGGGGAUCGAAGACGAUCAGAUACCGUCGUAGUCUUAACCAUAAACUAUGCCGACUAGGAAUCAGACGAUGUUAAUUUUUAAUGUACUCGUUUGGC
rnacentral:rRNA from 1 species